rnacentral:rRNA from 1 species
AACUUAAAUGAAUUGACGGGGGAGCACCACAACGGGUGGAGCUUGCGGUUUAAUUGGAUUCAACGCCGGAAAUCUUACCGGGACCGACAGCAAUAUGAAGGCCAGGCUGAAGACUUUGCCGGAUUAGCUGAGAGGUGGUGCAUGGCCGUCGUCAGUUCGUACUGUGAAGCAUCCUGUUAAGUCAGGCAACGAGCGAGACCCACGCCCACAGUUGCCAGCGUACUCUCUGGAGUGACGGGUACACUGUGGGGACCGCCGCUGCUAAAGCGGAGGAAGGAAUGGGCAACGGUAGGUCAGUAUGCCCCGAAUAUCCCGGGCUACACGCGAGCUACAAUGGUUGGUACAAUGGGUAUCUACCCCGAAAGGGGACGGGAAUCUCCUAAAACCAAUCUUAGUUCGGAUUGAGGGCUGCAACUCGCCCUCAUGAAGCUGGAAUCCGUAGUAAUCGCGUUUCAACAGAACGCGGUGAAUACGUCCCUGCUCCUU